rnacentral:lncRNA from 1 species
AGUCAGCUCAGUAGUAGAGAGCCUGCCUAAUAUGUGCAAAGGAUUUAAACAACCACACUGGAAAAAAAAAAUAUUAAGCCAAAUUACAGCCGUGAAGUUCAUCCGCAUUUAAGCACACAGCUGAUAGAUCAGGGCCUGUUGUGGUUGUGGUGGUUGUUGGUACUAGUACUACUAAUACUACUAAAAGGAGGGCGAGAAGGGACAGAAGAGAAAAAGAAAGAAAGUUAUACUGUCAAGCAUCCGCCAGAGUUAAGAAGCUUUCGGGUUUGGAGACAGGAUCUCGCUCUGUACCCAGUCUGGCAUAGGACUUACUAUGUAGCAGGUAAGAUUCAAACUUCUCAGUGUUGGGGUUACAUGCCAGACCUCAAAAUACCUUUUUAUUAUCCUAAACUAUCAGAUUAAUUUUUGGAGUUAAAUGAAUCAUAAUUUAAAUAAGGCACACUAUAUUACAUGUGGUUGCCAUGGCUUAAUGUAUGGACGGAUCCUCCACUGUCUUGCAAUUCAUUUGUUGAAAAAUACCAAUACUGAUUUGGAAUUUUCCCAAUUAUUGCAUUUGCCAAUUAUAUCCUGUGUGUCAUUUGACAUG